rfam:Triticum aestivum genome assembly, contig: Triticum_aestivum_CS42_TGACv1_scaffold_592377_7BS
AUUGUACUCCCUCCAUCCGGAAAUACUUGUCAUCAAAAUGGAUAAAAGGGGCGUAUCUAGACGUAUUUUAGUUCUAGAUAUAUCUCUUUUUAUCCAUUUUGAUGACAACUAUUUUCGGACUGAGGGAGUACGAG